rnacentral:lncRNA from 1 species
GUUAAAACUACAUGAGCGUUGUAAGCCAACUGAGCAUUUGCAAAAUAUGGAGAGUUGGCGCCACCUUGCGGAAAGAUUCAAAACAGGCACAAUCAUUGACGUAAAUCAACCAGACUGGCGGCGAGGUGGAUCGCAUUCUGACAAAGCCCCUGCAAAGAAGUUCUGGCCUGGUUGCUCUGGGUGUUGCCUACUUCAAAGGCAUUUGGGCUGGGGUUCAAGACCUCAUUUCAUCUCCUGAAGUUGUUUUCAAGCUUCAUCUAUUGGCUCUUACACGAUGAUGUUUGUGGUCUUCCCUGAUGACAUCACUGCCAACAUGACCCUGGUGGAGGAGAGCCUGAUGGCCGAGUUUGUCCAGGACCGUUCAGUUUCUGCACUUGGCCGACGCACUGCCUUCCAAGAGUUCAGCUACUCCACUGGCCUGCUGCCUGCUUACUGACCAGGGUCUAUCUUGAUAGGUUGCAGGACACAGACCAGUGUUCUGCAAAGCUCAGCAGCCUCAAUCACAAGUUGGCACACACACACACACACAAACCAGCACUUAGGAGGAUCCUAAGAGGAGACCUUUCAAUAAAUAUCAUAUGUAGAAAUAUUAAUCUAAUAAAUAAAAGGAAUUAAAAAAUAA